rnacentral:sRNA from 12 species
AUCCUAUACAGAUGUAUCAACGCUAGUCAAUUGGGCAUCUCCCUGUAGGAUUAAGUUUAUUUAUCAGAAGCUCUGGUAACAAUUUUCAUUGCGUGGCUACGGUCGAAAUGAGAUGAGUCAGAGUGGAAUAGGUUAUCCGUAAGACCUUGAGUUGGAAAACUCUAAAUUGGAGCUAGAGAUAUGGAUUUCUUAAAUUUUGCAUUUUCUGGUUACGGAGGC